rnacentral:rRNA from 1 species
GAUGAACGCUGGCGGCGUGCCUAAUACAUGCAAGUCGAGCGAACAGACGAGGAGCUUGCUCCUUUGACGUUAGCGGCGGACGGGCGAGUAACACGUGGAUCACCUUCCUAUAAGACUGGGAUAACUACGGGAAACCGGAGCUAAUACCGGAUAAUAUAAUGAACCGCAUGGUUCAAUAGUGAAUGACGGUUUUGCUGUCACAUAUAGAUGGUUCCGCGCCGCAUUAGCUAGUUGGUAAGGUAACGGCUUACCAAGGCAACGAUGCGUAGCCGACCUGAGAGGGUGAUCGGCCACACUGGAACUGAGACACGGUCCAGACUCCUACGGGAGGCAGCAGUAGGGAAUCUUCGGCAAUGGGCGAAAGCCUGACGGAGCAACGCCGCGUGAGUGAUGAAGGUCUUCGGAUCGUAAAACUCUGUUAUUAGGGAAGAACAAAUGUAGAAGUAACUAUGCACGUCUUGACGGUACCUAAUCAGAAAGCAACGGCUAACUACGUG